rnacentral:rRNA from 1 species
UACGUAGGUGGCAAGCGUUGUCCGGAUUUAUUGGGUUUAAAGGGUGCGUAGGCGGCUUUGUAAGUCAGUGGUGAAAUAUGGCAGCUUAACUGUCAAGGUGCCAUUGAUACUGCGGAGCUUGAGUACAGAUGAGGUAGGCGGAAUUGACGGUGUAGCGGUGAAAUGCUUAGAUAUCGUCAAGAACACCUAUAGCGAAGGCAGCUUACUAGGCUGUAACUGACGCUGAGGCACGAAAGUGUGGGGAGCAAACAGG